rnacentral:rRNA from 2 species
UUCCGGUUGAUCCUGCCGGACCUGACUGCUAUCGGAUUGAUACUAAGCCAUGCGAGUCAUUGUAGUAAUACAAGGCAGACGGCUCAGUAACGCGUAGUCAACCUACCCUAUGGACGAGGAUAAUCUCGGGAAACUGAGGAUAAUACUCGAUAGAUCAUUAUGCCUGGAACGGUUUAUGGUUAAAAUGAUUCGUCGCCAUAGGAUGGGACUGCGGCCUAUCAGCUUGUUGGUGAGGUAAUGGCCCACCAAGGCGAUUACAGGUACGGGCUCUGAGAGGAGAAGCCCGGAGAUGGGUACUGAGACAAGGACCCAGGCCCUAUGGGGCGCAGCAGGCGAGAAAACUUUGCAAUGUGCGAAAGCACGACAAGGUUAGUCCGAGUGAUUUCUGCUAAAGAAAUCUUUUGCAAGUCAUAAAACCACUAGUGAAUAAGGGGUGGGCAAGUUCUGGUGUCAGCCGCCGCGGUAAAACCAGCACCUCAAGUGGUCAGGAUGAUUAUUGGGCCUAAAGCAUCCGUAGCCGGCUCUGUUAGUUUUCGGUUAAAUCUAUGUGCUCAACGCAUGGGCUGCCGAAAAUACUGCAGAGCUAGGGAGUGGGAGAGGUAGACGGUACUCGGUAGGAAGGGGUAAAAUCCUUUGAUCUAUCGAUGACCACCUGUGGCGAAGGCGGUCUACCAGAACACGUUCGACGGUGAGGGAUGAAAGCUGGGGGAGCAAACCGGAUUAGAUACCCGGGUAGUCCCAGCUGUAAACGAUGCAGACUCGAUGAUGCA